GACGAACGCUGGCGGCGUGCUUAACACAUGCAAGUCGAACGAGAUCCCAUGUGUAGCAAUACACAGGAAGAUCUAGUGGCGAACGGGUGAGGAACACGUGAGAAACGUACCCCAGACUUUGGGAUAACAGUCCGAAAGGACUGCUAAUACCAAAUAACGUCGGAAGUCCGCAUGGACAUCUGACGAAAGGGAUUCCGGUUUGGGAGCGUCUCGCGGACCUAUCAGCUAGUUGGAGGGGUAACGGCCCACCAAGGCAACGACGGGUAGCUGGUCUGAGAGGAUGGUCAGCCACACUGGGACUGAGACACGGCCCAGACUCCUACGGGAGGCAGCAGUGGGGAAUCUUGCGCAAUGGGCGAAAGCCUGACGCAGCAACGCCGCGUGCGGGAAGAAGGCUUUCGGGCUGUAAACCGCUUUCAGUAGGAACGAAACUGACGGUACCUACAGAAGAAGGAGCGGCCAACUAUGUG
rnacentral:rRNA from 1 species